rnacentral:rRNA from 1 species
GAUUAUGGCUCAGGAUGAACGCUAGCGAUAGGCUUAACACAUGCAAGUCGAGGGGCAGCACGGUGUAGCAAUACACUGGUGGCGACCGGCGUACGGGUGCGUAACACGUAUGCAACCUACCCGCUAUGGGGGAUAACCCGGCGAAAGUCGGACUAAUACCCCAUAUUAUUCUUACCGGGCAUCCGGUAGGUCUGAAAGAUUUAUCGAUUGCGGAUGGGCAUGCGGAUGAUUAGCUAGUAGGUGGGGUAACGGCUCACCUAGGCGACGAUCAUUAGGGGUUCUGAGAGGAAGGUCCCCCACACUGGAACUGAGACACGGUCCAGACUCCUACGGGAGGCAGCAGUGAGGAAUAUUGGUCAAUGGGCGCUAGCCUGAACCAGCCAAGUCGCGUGAAGGAUGAACCAGAUCUAUGGUUUGUAAACUUCUUUUGCAGGGGAGUAAAGUGCGACACGUGUGUUGUAUUGCAAGUACCCUGCGAAUAAGCAUCGGCUAACUCCGUGCCAGCCGCCGC